rnacentral:lncRNA from 1 species
AAAUUAUUUAAUCAUUUAGCAACGGAUACAAGAGUUUUUGGGGCUAUAAAUACACCCCAAAACUCUCAUUUGAGACACAACAAUCUGAGCAAACAUCAUAUUCAAGCUUCCAAACAUUCUACAUUCAUUUCAUAUUUUUAAUUGCUUUUAAGAAGCCAUUUCUUGAAUUUAUUGUUGUGUUCUUGAGCGUACUUGUUUACUCAUAUCUACUCUAUAAAGAGAGUUCUAUUUAAGUGAGUGUAAGUGUUUUGUAUACACUUGAAGGGAAGUUUAUAAUCCCUUGUUGCUGUUAGAAGGANNNNNNNNGUGUAAGUGUUUUGUAUACACUUGAAGGGAAGUUUAUAAUCCCUUGUUGUUGUUAGAAGGAACGUUUUUAUUCCUUCUGUUGAAGUCUUGAAGUGCGGCAUCUUCGAGCAAGGUUGUUGAGGCUUGUGUGAUUCAAGUUCUCAAGUUGUAACAGUUUGUUGAGCACCCGCAAGCUUAACAGGAUUAGUUGAACCUCGAGAUUGUAUCUCGGGAGACUGUACGUAACCACAUUUGUGGCCAGCCAGUAUAAAUUCGGUGCACUUCCUCCUUACUCUUUUAUUUCCGCAUUUGAGUUAAUUUUU